rnacentral:pre_miRNA from 1 species
CUCAACUCUGCUCGAGUGAGGUAGAGUCGUGGUGCUGCGUCACCACGAAGUCAUCAGUUUUAGGAAAAUUUGAU